UUGCCAUCAGAGAUUCAUGAAUUUUCUGUAGCAUAUCAGUACUGCAUUGUUUUUUUAUUUGCUGUAUUAUAUACCACUAAAUUAAAGAAAGAGAACUUAGUGUGAAAGCUUAAUUUCACUCUAGUAUUUUUAUUUCAAGGCCACUCGAGUCUGGCUGUGCCAGGAGGUGGUGAAAUGCUGUAGUGGUGGUGAGUGUGCAGGGACCUGACAUCCAGGGCCAGCUCCUGUCUGGUGCCCUGGAACGAGAGCCUGUUAGCAGGAGCUCGUUGGAUGCGCUCCUAGAGUUUGUUUUCCAGCUUACCAUCGGCCAAAGGCGAUCUGCUUCAUGCACCGAGGCUGCUCCAAGACAGGAGCCAGAGCGUGGUAAAUAAGGAUGAUCAGGAAGUUAUCUGCAGAAGCGCACUUCUGAGCUGAACUGAAAUACUGAUGUAGAUGCACCCUCUGUUCUGCACAUACUUUCUUUAUCGCUGUUAUUUGCUUUUUUUUUAUAGUCAAAAACAUCUUUGUAAACCAGAGACAAGACAUGAAGCAAUCGGUGUCAGUCCCCCAAAUGGGGAUGUUUGCAUCAACGUUGCCCUCUUUGUGAAGCCAGAGGUUGUAUCAGUCCUCUGA
rnacentral:lncRNA from 1 species